rnacentral:rRNA from 1 species
UACGUAGGGUGCAGGCGUUAAUCGGAAUUACUGGGCGUAAAGCGUGCGCAGGCGGCUCCUUAAGUCAGAUGUGAAAUCCCCGGGCUUAACCUGGGAACUGCGUUUGAAACUGAGGGGCUAGAGUGUGGAAGAGGGGGGUGGAAUUCCAGGUGUAGCAGUGAAAUGCGUAGAGAUCGGGAGGAACACCAGUGGCGAAGGCGGCCAUCUGGCUCAACAUUGACGCUGAGGCACGAAAGCGUGGGGAGCAAACAGG